CCGAGUUUACAACUCCCAAACCCCUGUGAACAUACCUAUAUGUUGCCUCGGCGGAUCAGCCCGCGCCCCGUAAAACGGGACGGCCCGCCGCAGGAUCCACAAACUCUGUUUUUAUUGUAACUUCUGAGUAACAAAACAAUAAAUCA
rnacentral:misc_RNA from 1 species